CAGGAUGAACGCUAGCUACAGGCUUAACACAUGCAAGUCGAGGGGCAGCGUUGGAGUAGCAAUACUCAGAUGGCGACCGGCGCACGGGUGAGUAACACGUAUCCAACCUGCCGCUUACUCGGGGAUAGCCUUUCGAAAGAAAGAUUAAUACCCGAUGGUAUAAAGAGUUCGCAUGUUCUCUUUAUUAAAGAAUUUCGGUAAGCGAUAAGGAUGCGUUCCAUUAGAUAGUUGGCGGGGUAACGGCCCACCAAGUCUACGAUGGAUAGGGGUUCUGAGAGGAAGGUCCCCCACAUUGGAACUGAGACACGGUCCAAACUCCUACGGGAGGCAGCAGUGAGGAAUAUUGGUCAAUGGACGAGAGUCUGAACCAGCCAAGUAGCGUGAAGGAUGACUGCCCUAUGGGUUGUAAACUUCUUUUAUAAGGGAAUAAAGUGAGGGACGUGUCCCUUUUUGUAUGUACCUUAUGAAUAAGGAUCGGCUAACUCCGUGCCAGCAGCCGC
rnacentral:rRNA from 1 species